rnacentral:pre_miRNA from 1 species
AGGAGGAACAGCCCCAGUGGCGGGGCCAGCUCUGGAAACCUGGAUUCAGCUCCGGCAGGAACUCCAUCUGCAGGGCCUGGAGGCUCUGGGGCGGG